GCUUACGGCCACACCUACCUCAGCACGCCCGAUCUCGUCUGAUCUCGGAAACAAAGCAGGGUCGGGCCUGGUUUGUACUUGGAUGGGAGACCGCCCUGGGAAUACCAGGUGCUGGAAGCC
rnacentral:rRNA from 1 species